UUAAAGGGCUGCAGUAUAUUGACUGUACAAAGGUAGCAUAAUCAUUAGUCAUUUAAUUGAUGACUUGUAUGAAGGAUUGGAUGAAAUAUAAACUGUCUCUUAAUUAUAUUUAGAAUUUAAUUUUUUAAUUAAAAAGUUAAAAUAAAUUAGAAAGACGAGAAGACCCUAUAGAGUUUUAUAGGUAAAAUUAAUUGAGAUUAUUUGUAAAGAUUAAAAUUAAGAUUAAUUUAUUUAUUUUGUUGGGGUGACAGAAAAAUAUGAAAAACUUUUUAUAUGUUUAAAACAUUAAUAAGUGGUUAAAUGAUCCAGUAUUAUUGAUUAUAAGAAAAAAUUACCUUAGGGAUAACAGCGUAAUUUUUUUUUUUAGUUCAUAUAAAAAAAAAAGUUUGCGACCUCGAUGUUGGAUUAAGAUAAAAUUUAAAUGCAGAAG
rnacentral:rRNA from 1 species